AGGAACUUAGGACUAACAAUAAUCCAGAAGCCUUCAAAGCUUCAAACAAGAGUAUAAUCUCUUAGUACCUG
rnacentral:tRNA from 1 species